AAUCAACGCUGGCGGCGUGCCUAACACAUGCAAGUCGAACGCGAAAGUCCCGCAAGGGAUUAGUAGAGUGGCAAACGGGUGAGUAACACGUGGGUGACCUGCCUUCGAGUGGGGGAUAACGUCCCGAAAGGGACGCUAAUACCGCAUAACAUCCUGCCUUUUAAGAGGUGGAGAUCAAAGCUGGGGACCGUAAGGCCUGGCGCUGGAAGAGGGGCCCGCGUCUGAUUAGCUAGUUGGUGAGGAACGGCUCACCAAGGCAACGAUCAGUAUCCGGCCUGAGAGGGCGGACGGACACACUGGGACUGAGACACGGCCCAGACUCCUACGGGAGGCAGCAGUAGGGAAUCUUGCGCAAUGGGCGAAAGCCUGACGCAGCAACGCCGC
rnacentral:rRNA from 1 species